rnacentral:rRNA from 1 species
CCUACGGGGGGCAGCAGUGAGGAAUAUUGGUCAAUGGGCGCGAGCCGGAACCAGCCAAGUAGCGGGAAGGAUGAAUGCCCUACGGGGUGUAAACUUCGUGUAUAAAGGAAUAAAGUGAGGCACGUGGGCCUUUUUGUAUGUACUUUAUGAAUAAGGAUCGGCUAACUCCGUGCCAGCAGCCGCGGUAAUACGGAGGAUCCGAGCGUUAUCCGGAUUUAUUGGGUUUAAAGGGAGCGUAGAGGGGUUGGUAAGUCAGUUGUGCAAGUUUGCGGCUCAACCGUAAAAUUGCAUUUGUUACUGGCAGCCUUGAGUCCAGUUGAGGUAGGCGUAAUUCGUGGUGUAGCGG